rnacentral:rRNA from 1 species
GAUGAACGCUGGCGGCGUGCCUAAUACAUGCAAGUCGAGCGAACAGACGAGGAGCUUGCUCCUUUGACGUUAGCGGCGGACGGGUGAGUAACACGUAGGUAACCUACCUAUAAGACUGGGAUAACUUCGGGAAACCGGAGCUAAUACCGGAUAAUAUUUCGAACCGCAUGGUUCGAUAGUGAAAGAUGGCUUUGCUAUCACUUAUAGAUGGACCUGCGCCGUAUUAGCUAGUUGGUAAGGUAACGGCUUACCAAGGCAACGAUACGUAGCCGACCUGAGAGGGGGAUCGGCCACACUGGAACUGAGACACGGUCCAGACUCCUACGGGAGGCAGCAGUAGGGAAGCUGCCGCAAUGGGCGAAAGCCUGACGGAGCAACGGCGCGUGAGUGAUGAAGGUCUUCGGAUCGUAAAACUCUGUUAUUAGGGAAGAACAAACGUGUAAGUAACUGUGCACGUCUUGACGGUACCUAAUCAGAAAGCCACGGCUAACUACGU